rnacentral:rRNA from 1 species
CGGGUCCUACGGGAGGCAGCAGUGGGGAAUAUUGGGCAAUGGGCGCAAGCCUGACCCAGCAACGCCGCGUGAAGGAAGAAGGCUUUCGGGUUGUAAACUUCUUUUCUCAGGGACGAAGAAAGUGACGGUACCUGAGGAAUAAGCCACGGCUAACUACGUGCCAGCAGCCGCGGUAAUACGUAGGUGGCAAGCGUUAUCCGGAUUUAUUGGGUGUAAAGGGCGUGUAGGCGGGAGAGCAAGUCAGAUGGGAAAAAUCAGGGCUCCAACCUGAGCCUGGAUAUGAAAAUGUGUUUUUUG